UUUUUAAUCUUUUCUGAUUUUCUUUGGGAGAAUUUAUUUAGCGAUUUAACAUCCCCAUCUUAGUUAAGGACUUUAUUCAAGAACCCAACCUUUUGUUUCCAUGAUACUUAGAAAAACUUUUUUUACCAUUAAAAUAUGUGUACGCUGAUUCCUGAUUUAGCGAAGUUUGGUGGGUUAUAACUAGAGAUUAAUUAUGGAAGUUAUUCAUAAUUUUUUUUUACACGGAAAUAAACUUAAGAUGUGAAAAUGGAAACAGAAGUAAUACACUGUGUUAAACAGAGUGAAAUAAUAGAGAAUCCAUCCAAUUAAUUUUUAUGCACAAUUCUAACUAACUAUUUGUUGCGGACAGACCUCCUGAUUGAUUUUUUUCACUCUUAAAUCCUUAAAAAGGUUUGAGGAGUGGACCGUGAACCGAAAGCUUCAACCAUUAGGAUUAUCCAAGUAGGCCCUUGCUUAUAUUUGCUAUUGCUAAAGUACAAGUAUCAACUUGUUUAAAUCAAAGAGUAAUGUAUGCAAAUUAUUUGAACAUCAGAAUGGCAAUUGCACUAGCAGUUAUUGCAGGCGUGGGAAGUAUUGAAUUUUUUUGUCCUAUGAUAUAUUGUUUGGGCAUCUCUACGUCCGACGAGUAUGGAGCCUUAUCGGGUAAGGCUUCGACAAGCUUUCGGGUUUCUGCUUUCAUGAAGGCAACACCUACCUUGUCUAUGAGUUUCUAGGCAGUAAAGCGAUUAUAUUGUAGAUUGAAACAAAGCUCAGCAGGUUUCAGUGAGCAUUCUCUGCAAGAUAGGUUGAGCAAGGGGAGCAGGGGUCAAGGAGAUGAGAUAUAUUUAAAACUCCGCACCAGUACAGAUCAAAGGUACUUUGCUUAAAGCUUUGUGUCAGGCGGAGAGAUCUAAUGUUUUUUUUCGUUCCAAGAAGGUGAAAAGCGAAGAUACAUGUGAUCAUUCUGACAAAGGCGAGGAAGACGUUGAAGAGGAAGAGGCAAGAAAGAUUAGACUUGGGCUUAAUAAGAAGAGUGGUGAUGAUGAUGAGUUGAUUGCGAAGGGAAAAUCCUAUGUUAAUUCGUGUACAUAAUUGAUGUAAAAGUUUGUAAACAAUUUUUUCUAUUAUUUUGAUGAAUGUAUUAUUUGAAUAUAAUUUGAUUUGA